AAAUCAACUCACAGUGGCGUGCUGUUUCUCAGUUAUUGGCAUCACUGAACAGUCCAUGAGCAGUGGAAAUCACAGGCCAUCUCUCAGUGAGAUCUCUCCAGCAUCCAGCACUGCCAACCAGCUCUUCCAGGCUGUGCAGUCUGGCACAGAAAGAGACAAAGCCAGCCUGAGUCAUUUACAAAAACAGGGUGCCGCCCAUUAUUUGAGCAGGCUGGAGUGGACUGCUGCUGGGAGAUCUCGAGUGCCAAACAAUAAAUGAAUCCUCUCCGGUUAAUCGUCACCCUGCCAAUGAGACGGAGGUUGGUUGCUCUUGCAAUGAAGGACAAAAGUCUUUUCUUCUGCUCUUUGUUGCCUGUAACAAAGCUGGUUGGAUGCAGCUGGGAUCAGGCCCACAGCUGAUCCUCCUCUCCCCCGCCCCUGGGCCAUUCCUUUCAGCUCAGCUGGGGUAGCCGGGACAAUAGGGAAGCUGUGUUUGCUGCAUCUCAGGAUGUUAGGUCUAUAGUUUGGACAGCCCAAGAAUAUGUGUGUAUUCUCCCCAUUGAUGUUCAGGGGCUUGAUACCUCUUUGUUUAGUUUGCUUUAUUGAAAGGUAAAACGGAAGAAGGGAUAAUGCCCUUGCUUAGAAAUAUAGAUGCAUGGUGACAUAAAAGGGAUGAGAAGGGAACAUUUCAGAGAUGAGACCUGAAUCCACGCUCCUUGGAGUGGGGAAGCAGUACAGGAGGGAAGCAGUUCUACCAGCUGUGCUGCCCCGCUGCAGGAUUUCCCCAGGCAGGAUCCUGGUCCAUGUUCAGAUAACAGGCUGCGCUGGUGUAAGAUGUCGAGAUAAUCUGCCAGUUCCUCCUGGCCCCUGGCAGGUAGCUCUCCAUGCAAGAGUGAACAGGCCAGUCUGACUCAGCUGCAAACGCACAAGCCAUCAGAAAAUGAUGAUCAGAAAAUAGUGCUCUCCAUUUUCCGGUGUUGGAACCUUGCUUCCCCGAUGUGUUUGAUGUCGGUGCAUUCAAAGUACAGGAUAAUUUUUUCCA